GAUGGUCACAUGAUGAUGACAUCAGAGAAAGUGUUGAACCGUUAUUGUUGAACUCUUAGCCAUGUUUUUGCUUAUGCAUUUUUAACUCAUUUUUAUAAUAGUUUGAAUUAUUGUUCUUGUUAAAUAUUUAAUUCGAAAUGGUGGAUUGUUGGAUUCUCGGGAAUUAAUUGAAAUUAAAUUGACGUUUUAUAUGAUAUUUAGUAAUUCAAGAGCAAUGAUCUCUGUCUUGAUGUUUGAUCAAUCAAGUGAUGAAGUGAAACCAUUGUAAGGAAAGAGUACCUCUGUACCUGGAAACUUCAUUUUGAUUGGAGGGAAACGUCUAACUGGAAGCUCACCAUAAAAUGGAUCCGUCAAUCUUUUCCAAUGGCCGAGUUUCACCAAGUUACAUCAUUUUCAUUUUUUUAUAUUUCUAAUCACGUAAGCUUGUAAACUGUACAGCACAAUCAUGUUGACAAAAGUAGCAUGUUAAUUUUACCUUGUAACAGCAAAUCCGUUGUAUUUCAGAUUUCUUUUGUUCAACCUAAAGUGUCAACAUAAUCAUGACAUUUCACUUCAUUGUUUCCCUCUUUUUUUUCAUACUCAUUCCUGGCAACAAACAUUGAUAUUUAUUGUAUCACAAAUCUUGCCUAUCAAGAUAGUAUAUCGUUAAAUUGAGCUAGAUUAAUGGUAAUGCAACCUUUAAACUGUUGAAUCUCAAUCAUAACCAGGCCUCUACGAUGAACCCUCCACCUAACUUCAGACCCAUUUCAAUCAUCUUAAAAUAUGAAACAAAGACGGAGUGCUGCUAUUUUCUUAGCGAGAAAUCGAUCAAGAUGUAAGGAUCCAAAAGCAGAAAUCCGAGAUUCGAAGGAUGGUGGAUGGAAAAUUAAACGAGAGAAAUGGUUCGAAAAAUUAUUAUUCAAUCUAAACAGAAUGGCCGAGUAACAAAUUACAUUAUAAUGAUAGCAGAAUAACAUUCACAUGUGUUACAUAAACUUACCUCAUUCGAUGUGCUUUCGUUUUAUCGUUCGUUCUGCAUGAAAGAUCAGAUGGCCGAGUGGUUAAGGCGUUGGACUGCUAAUCCAAUGGGCAUUGCCCGCGUGGGUUCGAAUCCCAUUCUGAUCGAAACUUUUGCUUUUUCUUACCUAAUUAAUCUUCGAUUAAUUAAUUCCCCACAUUGUUUGGUUACAUGAAAACAACUGUUUCCAACCUUGAGCUGUUGCAGGCAGAAAGAGAGUUGAAAUUGUGUUUACAUGUUGAACAUUUUUACAGUCUUUAUGUAAAAAUCCUUCAAAUUGUUGAACAUUUUGAUUUCUACCUUGAUUGGUGAUCAAUUACCGUAAAAUCAAAAAAUGCAAAAUUUAAGCUUUAAUAACAAUUUUUAUUUACAUUAUACAUUACAUGUAUGUUUACCUGAAAAACAUUUACUCUUCAAUAUUUUUAUGCACAGUAUUUACAUUCAAAAUACAUUAACACGAUUGAGAUCUUUCUACUUAUUAAUUAAUACUGAUAGAAAAAAAACAAAAUUACAUUUAAUACAAUUAAGACACUUAUGCCAAGCUUGUUGUUGCUAGUGUAAUGUUGUAUUGAUUAUACGCAAUAAAUCAUCAGCUCACUAAUGAUUUGUGAACUAUUAAAUGAUCACAUUUUAUCAUGUU